UACGAAGGGGGCUAGCGUUGCUCGGAAUCACUGGGCGUAAAGGGUGCGUAGGCGGGUCUUUAAGUCAGGGGUGAAAUCCUGGAGCUCAACUCCAGAACUGCCUUUGAUACUAAGGAUCUUGAGUUCGGGAGAGGUGAGUGGAACUGCGAGUGUAGAGGUGAAAUUCGUAGAUAUUCGCAAGAACACCAGUGGCGAAGGCGGCUCACUGGCCCGAUACUGACGCUGAGGCACGAAAGCGUGGGGAGCAAACAGG
rnacentral:rRNA from 1 species